AAUGAACGCUGGCGGCAGGCCUAACACAUGCAAGUCGAGCGCCCCGCAAGGGGAGCGGCAAACGGGUGAGGAACACGUGGGAAUCUACCAAAUAGUUCGGAAUAGCCUCGGGAAACUGGGAGUAAUACCGGAUACGCUCUACGGAGGAAAGAUUUAUCGCUAUUUGAUGAGCCCGCGUCUGAUUAGCUAGUUGGUGAGGUAAUGGCUCACCAAGGCGACGAUCAGUAGCUGGUUUGAGAGGAUGAUCAGCCACACUGGGACUGAAAUACGGCCCAGACUCCUACGGGAGGCAGCAGUGAGGAAUAUUGGACAAUGGGCGAAAGCCUGAUCCAGCCAUGCCGCGUGUGUGAUGAUGGCCUUCGGGUUGUAAAGCACUUUGAGUGGGGAAGAUAAUGACGGUACCCACAAAACAAGCCCCGGCUAACUCCGUGCCAGCCGCCGCAGUAA
rnacentral:rRNA from 1 species